CGUGGGAUAUCUGCAGUGACUGUGUUGACAAAGAUUAUCAUUGCACUUUCAUGUGGCAGACUGGAGGGUAGAAAUGUGAUUCGGGGACCAGGGAUGAAGGAGGGACGCUGUCUGUGUGAGCACGUUCUCUCCUCUGUGUCCUCUGUGCUUACCUUUGAAUUGGUUGUUUUGCCUUUAUUUAUUAAACUUGAAGAAUAAUUUAGGCUCAGUCCAUUUAAGAGUUUGGAUAUAAACCAAAAUGAUGAAAGAUGUGGAAGUGUGAAAAGAAACCUCAAGAAUACAAAUGAAACAGCGUGGAUCCAGCUUUGGAGAGCAGGAGAAAAGCAUGAACAUCAUGCAGAGCUUGACUGCCUUGAGAUCAAAUGGAGCAGUAUUGGGAUAAUCCAAAUUUGCCAGCUGUUUUGCUGAUUAUUUCUGGGAGCAAUUAAAAAAAUCUUGAGACGAUGAAUUGUGUGUGCAGCACCUCAUGGGCACAGAUGUGACCUCCUGCAGCA